rnacentral:lncRNA from 1 species
AAGGUUCUACUGAUGUGCUUCUCUAGACCUUUUUGACGGUUCGUUUUAUCCCAUUUAUCUCAAUACUAUCUCCGAUGACAGAAAUGUCAACCCGACCUAUUCGUGUCGAAAGUGAAAAUCGCAUCUUUUUGAUGAAAUAAUUUCUUCUUCAGCGGUUCAUGCAUUAUUUCUGUAUUGUUUGAUAACCAAUCACAUUCACGUUACAUGUUUGCAUGAAAAUGGUUAUGUAUUAGUGAAUUGUAAGGGCGAUGCAACAUGGGAGGUCAGUGCGCGAUCACGUGACAUUAUCAUUUGUAAACAUACAUGCUCCCCGUGUAACACGUGUCUGAAUUAUCCUUUCAAAGUGUUAUGAAUCUUUCAAUCACUAUUUUAUGAUAUAUUUCUUUUUGUUUUUAGGUCUGCAUAUCAGUAUAGUCCAAGUGAAUUAGUAAUAGUUCUGAGUGUGUGUGUUUUUUUUUGUUUUUUUUUUAUAGAAUUAGAAGGUAACUAUAAGUCUACAUCUAUAAUACUAAAAUUACGAGGUCCAAUUUAUCAGCCGGCAUCACGUUAAAACGAUGAAUCAAAGAUUUCAACUUUAUUUAUAACUAAUAAAGUACAAUGGUGUAGAUUAAAAAUUACACCACUCCAGACCCUUUUGUUUUCCAGAUUAAAUUAAUAUUUGCCGAAUCCGAUACCGAUACCAAUUUAAUAUUUUCACCUGUUACUUUUACCUUAUAUGUACAUUCCGCAUCUGACAGGCGCACCACCAAAUGGUGUAUUUGAUUUUGCUUUAAACACGGGUCAUAAUCACAGGGUCGACACAACUAAAUUCAAUCAUUGUCAAAUUGUUCCCUAUUGUAGUUUUUUAAUUAGUAAGACUUUCUAAGAUAACAAUACGAAUACUAAAAAUUUAGUCUUGAAAUAACUUAACUUGAAAUAAGGCGUAUAGGUACAGUUUUCAAUUUGUUAGCGGGCAUGACGUAAAACAGCGAAUCAAAGAAUUGAACUUUAUUGGACAAUGCUGUUGAUUAAAAAUACUCAAAUCAAGGACCUGAAUAUUACCAAUAAUUGAAGAGUUCUAGGUCGACGGGUUCAAACAGAAAGAUUUGAAAGCAGAGAAACUGUAUCUUAUAAUCGGCACGACUUUUAUCAGAUGAUAAUACCAAUACUAAAAUAAGGCUCACGCAUAGUUAUAUACUUUAAUUCAGUCACAGACCCGCUAUAUCACGGGUGUGUUCUAGUAAGUUAUAUUUAACUAAUGUCUUAAAAGAUAACUCC